rnacentral:rRNA from 1 species
GGCAUGGCGGCAGCUACACAUGCAGUCGAGCGGUAGCACAGAGAGCUUGCUCUCGGGUGACGAGCGGCGGACGGGUGAGUAAUGUCUGGGAAACUGCCUGAUGGAGGGGGAUAACUACUGGAAACGGUAGCUAAUACCGCAUAACGUCGCAAGACCAAAGUGGGGGACCUUCGGGCCUCAUGCCAUCAGAUGUGCCCAGAUGGGAUUAGCUGGUAGGUGGGGUAACGGCUCACCUAGGCGACGAUCCCUAGCUGGUCUGAGAGGAUGACCAGCCACACUGGAACUGAGACACGGUCCAGACUCCUACGGGAGGCAGCAGUGGGGAAUAUUGCACAAUGGGCGCAAGCCUGAUGCAGCCAUGCCGCGUGUGUGAAGAAGGCCUUCGGGUUGUAAAGCACUUUCAGCGGGGAGGAAGGCGGUGAGGUUAAUAACCUCAUCGAUUGACGUUACCCGCAGAAGAAGCACCGGCUAACUCCGUGCCAGCAGCCGCGGUAAUACGGAGGGUGCAAGCGUUAAUCGGAAUUACUGGGCGUAAAGCGCACGCAGGCGGUCUGUCAAGUCGGAUGUGAAAUCCCCGGGCUCAACCUGGGAACUGCAUUCGAAACUGGCAGGCUAGAGUCUUGUAGAGGGGGGUAGAAUUCCAGGUGUAGCGGUGAAAUGCGUAGAGAUCUGGAGGAAUACCGGUGGCGAAGGCGGCCCCCUGGACAAAGACUGACGCUCAGGUGCGAAAGCGUGGGGAGCAAACAGGAUUAGAUACCCUGGUAGUCCACGCUGUAAACGAUGUCGAUUUGGAGGUUGUGCCCUUGAGGCGUGGCUUCCGGAGCUAACGCGUUAAAUCGACCGCCUGGGGAGUACGGCCGCAAGGUUAAAACUCAAAUGAAUUGACGGGGGCCCGCACAAGCGGUGGAGCAUGUGGUUUAAUUCGAUGCAACGCGAAGAACCUUACCUGGUCUUGACAUCCACAGAACUUUCCAGAGAUGGAUUGGUGCCUUCGGGAACUGUGAGACAGGUGCUGCAUGGCUGUCGUCAGCUCGUGUUGUGAAAUGUUGGGUUAAGUCCCGCAACGAGCGCAACCCUUAUCCUUUGUUGCCAGCGGUCCGGCCGGGAACUCAAAGGAGACUGCCAGUGAUAAACUGGAGGAAGGUGGGGAUGACGUCAAGUCAUCAUGGCCCUUACGACCAGGGCUACACACGUGCUACAAUGGCAUAUACAAAGAGAAGCGACCUCGCGAGAGCAAGCGGACCUCAUAAAGUAUGUCGUAGUCCGGAUUGGAGUCUGCAACUCGACUCCAUGAAGUCGGAAUCGCUAGUAAUCGUAGAUCAGAAUGCUACGGUGAAUACGUUCCCGGGCCUUGUACACACCGCCCGUCACACCAUGGGAGUGGGUUGCAAAAGAAGUAGGUAGCUUAACCUUCGGGAGGGCGCUACCACUUUGAUCUUGGCG